UGGAGGAAGGAAAACUAAGGAGGGAGCACGACCGUUUCUUUCCGAAUCACAAAAGUGUAGUGGAAGUGACGACAUAUAGUACGCGUCAUGAGGACGUCAUAUCGAUCAGGUGACUGGAGGCAGCCAAUCUGCGGUGAGCCUUCGCCACAACUGGGACAAACAAACUGGGGCAGCUGCCGGCGUGGAUGGUGGUUUCUGGCGCCCGGCGAGGUGUUAGCAAUAAGAGAUAGAUACGAGAUACUAGCAGUUAAGAUUACUAAACCGACGCACAAGUGAUACGAUGGAUAGAGCAGCCCUCCUCUGCUCUUUCGAUAUAUAAGAGCAUAUGUCGGCUCUUCAGAAGGUGAUGCAGUUAGUGCAUUUAUGCACGUUUCACACAGCAGGGACUUCUGAAGUUUGCGCACAACAAAUCCUGCUAUGUAUGUAACUAUCAUUCCCCCGCAUUCUGAAAUGUGCCCAGGAUCAGGACAGUAAUCGUGGUCGUCAUCAAAACCCAAGUUUUCUUCACAGCUUGGCAGCAGUUGCCUUCGAUCGCUUGUCCCGUUCAAGACCUCUUCAGAAUGUGCGGCUCUUGCACUGCUCACAUGGAGUAUCGCAAUGUGCUCCUGUGGCAAGCAGUUGCCAGUGGUGAUGUCUCUGACUUCGUUUUGCACAAUCAGUCGCUUGAAUGCUGCGGCGAACUGUUGGGCACUAGGAUUGUCGUUGCACCGUCCAUGGGAUCGGAUAGCACCAAAGAAAAGUUCGAGAUGAUCUUGGCUCACCUUAUGAGAUGCCCAAGAAUCCAGUCUUCCGAUUGGUCUUCAGUAGUGGGAUGCCAUUUGGAUGUUCUCUCAGGCUGGACAGCGCAUUUCUCACGAGCUUCAGCAUAUGACAAGGAUCCAUGAAAACGACAACAACUUCACCUGUUUCAGGGUGCUGGAAACUUGUCUUCAAAUUUUUGGGGUCACUGAAGUUGCACCCAAGCUGUCUAAACAUUGCGAAGUUUGACGGUGCCCCAUCACAAGUUAAGGAGACAACAGUCGCUCCCACUUCAUGGGCAAGGACAAGACUGCGUUGUACUAGGUCAGCCCUUUGUUCACCGCCAAGUCCAUCAACAAGAAAAUAGCCCAACGGGACCUUCCACCUUCCAUUAAUAGCCACUGCCAUUAUCACGAAUGCUGCCUUAGCCAUUGGCAAGCAAUCGCCAUCUGUUCCAGUGCCCAUGUCAACAUAGCCUUGGAAUUGUUUGCCGUCCCAUUGGAGCUGCUGUCUGAUUGAAAUUUCAUCCACCAUGAGACUGCAUAAUGUUGGAAAGCCUGACUUGCUAUUCUCUGUUGCUUUCAUUUUCAAUGCAUUCAGAGCUUCUUUUGAGAACCCUGGCCUGCCAUCAACUGAUUGGUACCAUUUGCUUAGUGUUUUUGGAUGAGGCAGGCAGGUGUCGAAUACACUCCGUACAUAGUUAUAGGCCCGAGGUGAAUAAAAAUGUAAAGUCAAUGCAAAUGCUCGCAGCUGAGGUGAGUACUGUGUGGGGAGGGGAUUUCCUGUGCGUUUUGCAACCUGUCUUUUCAAUAAUUCUUGAUUUGUAGCACCAAGGCUCUCCAAAACUGCAACAUUCUCCUCAAGCAGGAUCUUCUGUCUUGUUAAAUCCUUAAUCACACCUUUCAGCCCCGCAUUUCUUUUCUUUAAACGUCGAUUUGCCUGUUGAAGUCUCUUUAUCUGUUUGCUGCUUUUGGUAUGUAGGGACGUAUACCACUUGACCCGUUCUCUUAAGAAGGCUUUCUCUGGAGUAUCAGCUGUGGAUUUUGCCUAAAACAGAUCCAUAUACAACAUAAAUUUUUGUGAUGUACAUUUUUCCAUUUUCUGACGUGGUAUGUCCUUGUUAGAAUCUUGUGAGGAUGGGAAGGUUUUAUCCUACAGCACACUUUGCCAUCUGUGCACAGGACCCGUAAACUGACUCAAACCGGCAUAUAUGUGGUGCAUGUAUACAUGGUGUCUACUAAACCCCUCCUUACUGUUUUCUAUCCUUUUAAUAGAACUGUCAGGUCUACUUGAAACGACCACGAGUGGGAAGGAAA